GCAUGAAGUUGGAAUCGCUAGUAAUCGCGGAUCAGCAUGCCGCGGUGAAUACGUUCCCGGGCCUUGUACACACCGCCCGUCACACCAUGAGAGUCGGGAACACCCGAAGUCCGUAGCCUAACCGCAAGGGGGGGCGCGGCCGAAGGUGGGUUCGAUAAUUGGGGUGAAGUCGUAACAAGGUAAC
rnacentral:rRNA from 1 species